GACGAACGCUGGCGGCGUGCUUAACACAUGCAAGUCGAACGGAAAGACCCUGCUUUUGUGGGGUGCUCGAUUGGCGAAGGGGGGAGUAACACGUGAGUAACCUGCCCUUGACUUUGUGAGAACUUUACGAAACUGGGGCUAAUAUCGGGUAGGAGCUCCUGCUCCAUGGUGGUGGUUGGUAAGUUUCGGCGGUUGGGGAUGUACUCGAGGCUUAUCCGCUUGUUUGUGAGGUAGGUGCUUACCAAGGCUUUGACGGGUAGCCGGCCUGAGAGGGUGACCGGGCACCUGGGGACUGCGAUACGGCCCAGAAUCCUACGGGCGGCAGCAGUGGGGAAUAUUGCACAAUGGGCCGAAGCCUGAUGCAGAAACGUCGCGUGCGGGAUGACGGCUUUCGGGUUGUAAACCGCUUUCGCAUGUGACGAAGCGUGAGUGACGGUAAUGGGUAAAGAAGCACCGGCUAACUACGUG
rnacentral:rRNA from 1 species